UACGAAGGGGGCUAGCGUUGCUCGGAAUUACUGGGCGUAAAGGGCGCGUAGGCGGCACUGUUAGUCAGGUGUGAAAGUCCUGGGCUCAACCUGGGAACUGCGCUUGAUACGGCAGAGCUAGAGGAUGGAAGAGGCUCGCGGAAUUCCCAGUGUAGAGGUGAAAUGCGUAGAUAUUGGGAAGAACACCGGUGGCGAAGGCGGCGAGCUGGUCCAUUACUGACGCUGAGGCGCGACAGCGUGGGGAGCAAACAGG
rnacentral:rRNA from 1 species